rnacentral:lncRNA from 1 species
GCUAUGCUAAACUGAAUCUUAAUAAUAAAACUCUAGCAUGGAUAUGAUGAAUAGUUGCUCUGCCUAAUUUUCAAAUUUGAGUUCUCUCUCUAGUUUAGACAUAACUGUUAUAAUUGAAAGCUUGCUCUAAACCUGAACUUGUGGGAAGAGAACUUGAUCUAAAGUCUAAGUUGUUAACGGAUAUGAUAUGGGAAGGUUGAGCUGCUGUUUAUCUGUUCCUAGAGAUGCUAGAAAUCUAGAGAAUUUUAUCUUUGAAAAUCUUUAAAAUAACACAUAAUGAGUUCCUGUAUGAUGAGAGUUUAAAUUCCUACCACAACCAUAUAUAUACAUGCUUGCUAGACUUUGAGCCACACACUUACUUUUUACUGCUUAUGAGCAUUGAGUGUGGUCAAGCUGUGUAGACCCUUAGGAGCUUGUCAUGUGGUUAAAUCAAGAUUCACUUGCACGUUCACUCACACAUGCCGCUUCUACUCCGGAAGUACGCAUCCACAUAUAUCCACCCAUUUCCAUCUCCAGAACCACCUAAAAAUAUUCUACUCCUAAUCCAGGAGAGAAUAGCCAAAAGCAUUCUCCUAUUUCUGUUUUUCCCCUAUGAAAUAAAUGCUCGAGUUAUCUUGGUUACUACCACUUGCUAUAUUAUUUCAAGAGAUGAGUGCUCUAAAAAAAGAAAAAAAGAGGAUACGAGGAAAUAAAAAGGGGCAAGUGCCCGGAACCUCGAAAGAAAAGAAAAAGUGAGACGAGAGGUAAAAAUGGACAAGUGUCCGAUAGUAGAAUUAGGGCUACAAGAUACCCACCUGGGAGGAAAGAAAAAGAAAAUGUAGAGCAUCUCAUUCUCCUCAAAAAGUUUCAAAAGAGCAAGAAAGGUAUGUAUCCCCUCAAAAGAGCACAAGUAGAAUUAGACUUUCACCAUUGUUAUCACUAUCAUCACCAUACACCAUUCAUUCGCCACACAUGCACAUCUUGAUUUGACUUAUUGACUUGUUUCUUUGGAUCCAUGGUUUGACUAUGCAAUAAAUGUCUUGUAAGUAUGUAUGCUUUAUCUCCCACCUAUGAGCUCCAGAUAUUAAAGCCUUAUUAGACUAGGGUGAGAGAGAAGGCAAUGUCACUAUGCCUUAUACCACAAAUACUACAUAUUUUGAGAGAAGGCAUGUACCAUCACUGCCUUGGUAACGAUCCAGAAAUACCACAAAAGAGAGAUCUGAGAGAAUCAUACAAGGAAUCUCUGAGUUUUAUUUAAAAAUCUGCAAAAACUCCAGAGCUAUAGCUGAUCAAGAAUAAGAGACAUGGCACUUGACUAGACUGUUCUAUCUUUUAACUGCUCAAGACAGAAGUGACGGUUACAAGUCCCAUGGUGAAAGGUAAAAUGAGUAAGUUUUAAGUCUUGACGGUUUACUCUGACUCAG